rnacentral:lncRNA from 1 species
GCUGAUCUAUAUUUCUCUUAAUUGACAACAAUCCAGUCUGUUUUCUGUAGUUUUUUGCUGUUGGAUUUGAAUUUCUAACGCAGAGCAGAAAUCACGGGGAUAUCCUGACAUGGCAGAUGUAGAAAUGCGGGGAGUCCUACUUCCAUGAGCCCAUAUUAACCAACACACCAACAGCAGCACCAUGGGACGACCGCCAACUUUAUUCAAUUAUAGCAUGCGCUGACCACUCCAGCUCAAUAUACAUUGUGCAGGUCCCGGUAAAUCAAUGUGGUAUUUUUUUGGCAAUGCUACAAGAAUAGGAGAUAUGAUGUGACCACCUUUAUGCACGACUAUUGCAGCAACAUGAUGCAAAGUGG